UACGGAGGAUGCAAGCGUUAUCCGGAAUGAUUGGGCGUAAAGCGUCCGCAGGUGGCUAUGUAAGUCUGCUGUUAAAGCGUGAGGCUCAACCUCAUAAGAGCAGUGGAAACUACAUGGCUAGAGUGCGUUCGGGGCAGAGGGAAUUCCUGGUGUAGCGGUGAAAUGCGUAGAGAUCAGGAAGAACACCGAUGGCGAAAGCGCUCUGCUAGGCCGCAACUGACGCUGAGGGACGAAAGCUAGGGGAGCGAAUGGG
rnacentral:rRNA from 1 species